rnacentral:rRNA from 1 species
GAUGAACGCUGGCGGCGUGCCUAAUACAUGCAAGUCGAACGCAUAGCGAAAGGUGCUUGCACCUUUCAAGUGAGUGGCGAACGGGUGAGUAACACGUGGACAACCUGCCUCAAGGCUGGGGAUAACAUUUGGAAACAGAUGCUAAUACCGAAUAAAACUUAGUGUCGCAUGACACAAAGUUAAAAGGCGCUUCGGCGUCACCUAGAGAUGGAUCCGCGGUGCAUUAGUUAGUUGGUGGGGUAAAGGCCUACCAAGACAAUGAUGCAUAGCCGAGUUGAGAGACUGAUCGGCCACAUUGGGACUGAGACACGGCCCAAACUCCUACGGGAGGCUGCAGUAGGGAAUCUUCCACAAAGGGCGAAAGCCUGAUGGAGCAACGCCGCGUGUGUGAUGAAGACUUUCGGGUCGUAAAGCACUGUUGUAUGGGAAGAACAGCUAGAAUAGGAAAUGAUUUUAGUUUGACGGUACCAUACCAGAAAGGGACGGCUAAAUACGUG